rnacentral:rRNA from 1 species
GUAGUCAUAUGCUUGUCUCAAAGAUUAAGCCAUGCAAGUCUAAGUAUAAGCGAACUUAUACAGUGAAACUGCAGAUGGCUCAUUAAAACAGUUUGAAUUUAUUUGAUGGAUGUAAGGAAUUACUAGAUGGAUAACCGUACUAAUUCUAGAGCUAAUACAUGCAAGAAUGCGCUUCGGCGUUGUGUUAUUGGAUACAAGAACCAAACCCUUCGGGGUUUUGUUUGUUGAUUCACAAUAACUGAUCGAAUCGGGUGUAUUCCCGAUAGGUCAUUCAACAUUCUGCCCUAUCAGCUUUCGAUGGUUCUGUAGUGUACAACCAUGGCAUUAACGGGUAACGGAUAAUCAGGGUUCGAUUCCGGAGAGGGAGCCUGAUAAACGGCUACCACAUCUAAGGAAGGCAGCAGGCGCGUAAAUUACCCAAUCCUGACUCAAGGAGGUAGUGACAAAAAAUAACAAUACCGGACCUUUUUGGGUCUGGUAAUUGGAAUGAGAACAAAUUAAACUUCUUAUCGACCACCAUUGGAGGGCAAGUCUGGUGCCAGCAGCCGCGGUAAUACCAGCUCCAAUAGCGUAUAUUAAAGUUGUUGCAGUUAAAAAGCUCGUAGUUGUAUUUCAGCGUAUGUUGUUUUCGGUGUCUGCAUUCAAAAGAGUGUAAUGACCCGUGCGACUUCGCAAUUGCCCAUUGGGUCGUUCCUGGUCUUGAUUGACUUGGGGGUGUUUUAUCUCGAUGGAUCUUUCACUGUGAGAAAAGUAGAGUGUUCAAGGCAGGCGUUUUUGCAAUUGAAUAUGUUAGCAUGGAAUAAUAAGAUACGACCUUCGGAUUUAUUUUGUUGGUCUCUAGUUUGGAAGUAAUGAUUGAUAGGGAUAGUUGGGGGUGCUACUAUUGAAUGGCCCGAGGUGAAAUUCAUGGAUUCAUUCAAGACUAACUAAUGCGAAAGCAUUCACCAAGGAUGUCCUCUUUAAUCAAGAACGAAAGUUGGGGGAUCGAAGACGAUCAGAUACCGUCGUAGUCUCAACCAUAAACUAUGCCGACUAGGGAUUGGCGGUCGUUUUUCUUUUAUUAAGACUCCGUCAGCGCCUCAUGAGAAAUCAAAGUGUUUGGGUUCCGGGGGGAGUAUGGUAGCAAGGCUGUAACUUAAAGGAAUUGUCGGAAG